UACAGAGGGUGCAAGCGUUAAUCGGAUUUACUGGGCGUAAAGCGUGCGUAGGCGGUUCAUUAAGUCGGUUGUGAAAUCCCUGGGCUUAACCUGGGAACUGCAGUCGAUACUGAUGGACUAGAGUACGGUAGAGGGUGGCGGGAACUCCGGGUGUAGCGGUGAAAUGCGUAGAUAUCCGGAAGAACACCGAUGGCGAAGGCAACCACCUGGGCCUGUACUGACGCUGAGGUACGAAAGCUAGGGGAGCAA
rnacentral:rRNA from 1 species